UAUAAACAUUCGUUGACCAGGCCA
rnacentral:siRNA from 1 species